rnacentral:rRNA from 1 species
GACGAACGCUGGCGGCGUGCUUUACACAUGCAAGUCGAACGAUGAAGAAGAGCUUGCUCUUCGGAUUAGUGGCGGACGGGUGAGUAACACGUGACUAACCUGCCCCUUUCUCUGGGAUAACGCUCCGAAAGGAGUGCUAAUACCGGAUACUCACAUCGAGGCACAUGCCUUGAUGUGGCAAGUUUUUCGGAAAGGGAUGGAGUCGCGGCCUAUCAGGUUGUUGGUGAGGUAACGGCUCACCAAGGCGACGACGGGUAGCCGGCCUGAGAGGGCGACCGGCCACACUGGGACUGAGACACGGCCCAGACUCCUACGGGAGGCAGCAGUGGGGAAUAUUGCACAAUGGGCGAAAGCCUGAUGCAGCGACGCCGCGUGAGGGAUGAAGGUCUUCGGAUUGUAAACCUCUUUCAGUAGGGACGAAGCGAAAGUGACGGUACCUAAAGAAGAAGCACCGGCUAACUACGUGCCAGCCGCCGCCGAA